rnacentral:rRNA from 1 species
UACGUAGGGUGCGAGCGUUAAUCGGAAUUACUGGGCGUAAAGCGUGCGCAGGCGGUUUUGUAAGUCAGAUGUGAAAUCCCCGGGCUUAACCUGGGAACCGCGUUUGAAACUACAAGGCUAGAGUGUGGCAGAGGGGGGUGGAAUUCCACGUGUAGCAGUGAAAUGCGUAGAGAUGUGGAGGAACACCCGUGGCGAAGGCGGCCCCCUGGGUCGGCCCUGACGCUGAGGCGCGAAAGCGUGGGGAGCGAACGGG